GGGGCUGACUGGAUUUGACAGCGGAUUGGGAUAUUGCGUAAGCAUGCGGAGUAAAGACUGUCAACUCCAUAAUCAUGUCGGUCAAAAAAUUAACUGGCGAAAACAAGUACGCUCUCGCUGCUUAAUCGAAGUAUAGUAGAUUAACUUUAUCCCUUUGCGAGGCAGAGGGACGGGACAUCGCUCAGAGCCCUCUCCUUGAGGCUGACUGGUUAAAGCGGUGCUAUAAUAUCAGGGAUAGCCUGUGGCCUGCCUCUAUCCAUUGGCGAAGUUUUCUGAGGCUAAGAUGUCAGUUGGUGGUUCAGGUCUUGCUGACAUACGAAAAUCAAAGGCUGAAAUAAGCAUGUAGAAAGCGUAAGGUCACACCGUUUGGACGAGGGUUCGACUCCCUCCAGCUCCAC
rnacentral:tmRNA from 1 species